GUAAGUGGGUUUGUAAGUCAGAUGUGAAAGCCUUCUGUUCAACGGAAGAAUUGCAUCUGAAACUGCUAAUCUUGAGUAUAGGAGGGGAGAAUGGAACUUCUGGUGGAGCGGUGAAAUGCGUAGAUAUCAGAAGGAACGCCGGCGGCGAAAGCGAUUCUCUGGCCUAUUACUGACACUCAGUGUGCGAAAGCUAGGGGAGCAAACGGGAUUAGAUACCCCGGUAGUCCUAGCCGUAAACGAUGGGCACUAAGUAG
rnacentral:rRNA from 1 species